rnacentral:rRNA from 1 species
UACGUAGGGUGCGAGCGUUGUCCGGAAUUAUUGGGCGUAAAGGGCUCGUAGGCGGUCUGUUGCGUCAGGAGUGAAAACUCGGGGCUUAACCCCGAGCCUGCUUCUGAUACGGGCAGACUAGAGGUAUGCAGGGGAGAACGGAAUUCCUGUGUAGCGGUGAAAUGCGCAGAUAUCAGGAGGAACACCGGUGGCGAAGGUGGGAUCCUGGGCCAGUACUGACGCUGAGGAGCGAAAGCGUGGGGAGCAAACAGG